rnacentral:rRNA from 1 species
UGGUGGAGUGAUUUGUCUGGUUAAUUCCGUUAACGAACGAGACCGCUGCCUGCUAUUUAGUUUUUUCAGUAAUCUUACUGAGUAAACUUCUUAGAGGAACGUGCAUUCUAUUAGAUGCAGGAAGACAGCGGCAAUAACA